CUACGGAAGGCAGCAGUGGGGAAUUUUGGACAAUGGGCGCAAGCCUGAUCCAGCAAUGCCGCGUGCAGGAUGAAGGCUUUCGGGUUGUAAACUGCUUUUGUACGGAACGAAACGGUGAGCUCUAAUAAAGCUUGCUAAUGACGGUACCGUAAGAAUAAGCACCGGCUAACUACGUGCCAGCAGCCGCGGUAAUACGUAGGGUGCGAGCGUUAAUCGGAAUUACUGGGCGUAAAGCGUGCGCAGGCGGUUAUAUAAGACAGAUGUGAAAUCCCCGGGCUCAACCUGGGACCUGCAUUUGUGACUGUAUAGCUAGAGUACGGUAGAGGGGGAUGGAAUUCCGCGUGUAGCAGUGAAAUGCGUAGAUAUGCGGAGGAACACCGAUGGCGAAGGCAAUCCCCUGGACCUGUACUGACGCUCAUGCACGAAAGCGUGGGGAGCAAACAGGAUUAGAAACCCGUGUAGUCCG
rnacentral:rRNA from 1 species